rnacentral:lncRNA from 1 species
CGAUAACCAAAUUAUGUUCAACUAAUUUAUGUGGUAGUUUCAAAUUUUUAGUUUGAAAAAAAGCUUUUGCAUAACUUUGAAAUAUGAUAAGCUUUUAAUCAAUUGAAGUGGAACAUAAAAUGCAAAAUUACACUAUCUAUGACAACCGACAAAAGAUUCUAUAUCCAAAGCUACUUGAGUAAUUAAUACCGAACCUUCCUCACACUAACAAAUUGACCCUUGUUACAAAACAGAAGAACGUCGGACAUCAAUAUCAUCAAAUUAAACUAUAAGCACCAUCAGUGCCAAAUUUUGCAGCUACGCUGCUACCUUUAACCAGGGUAAACUCAGGCGGUUCUAUCCUGCAAACCAAAAAUGGAAAUUACAGAAGAAUGAAGCCAAAAAAAAAAAAAUAGAGAGAGAAAGUUACAGGGAGAAAAAUUGAAAGAUGACAGCGUUUUUCUGUCUCUUUUUAAAACUUUAGCUGUUGGGCUUAUUGACCUGUUUAUGCAAGUAUUUUUAAAUAUUUAGUAAAUAAUGAAGGAAUUUUUAAAUAUUAAACUCAUUAAAUUCAUUUAUAAAUCCUUAAUGAAUAUUUCAUUGAAUUUCUUAUGUAAUUAUUCAAAAUCAAGAAGAUAUAUUUACCAGCUCAUCAACCAGCGGACACAGAUUCAUAUAGGCAAUGCCAUGGUCAAGUCAGAAGAAGACCCAAUUCACCUGAAACAUACAUAAUUAUAAAAUAAAUAGAUAAAAUUCAACUUAGGAAACAUAUAUAUAUAUAUAUAUAUAUAUAUAUAUAUUUUGUUUUUUUUUUUGAUUGAAAGUAAUCCUUUCAUAAAUCAGACAACAUUGUUUAAUACAUUCAAUAUAUCUCUGCUGGAAUUUGGUCCAGCCAGAUGGCUGAAGUAUUUGCUCCUACAGCAAGCUUUUCCAGGGAAUGGGCACAAGUGUUACAGGUUCUAGGAAUAUGUCUGAACUUGACCUCUUUAAAAUCUCUUUGUUUCUCCUGGAUGUCCGAGAUAACCCAACUUAUACCUGUUCUACUGCUCUUGGAAUUGUUAAGUAAGUCCACUACUUCGUUGCAAUCAGGAAACACAUAUAUUAUUAUAAAGUAAAUAGAUAAAAUUCAACUUAUGAUAAAUUUGGGGUGUCGCAAUAACGGAAGAUGCCAACAAUCCUCAACUAACCCACUUGAACACACCCUUUUCUCGUCCUCUGACAUACAAGGUUACUGCGGGAUCUCAUAAGGACUUUGGUCUCAAAAGAGCUUGAUAAGCCUCUAGUCUGUGGGGCUGAAUCCAAUUGGGGUUUUUUAAAUUUAUAGAAAACCAGGGUCCAAUUUAACCCAAGAAUUAGUUCAACAAUAAAAAAUUCCUCAAGUUUAUAUUGUUUGCCUAGUUAUUAUUCUCCUUCAAUGUGAGAUAAUAUCAUCAAUAAGAUUCCUAUCUUACGGUGUAGUUCAGAGAUGGUAGGCAAUCUGUGUAAGGGGAUGAAUCCAAUUCGGUGCAAAUCACUUUUAGCCACUUACCUCGACCCCAUCAAGGCAAAUUUUUAGGCAACUUGGGUCUUGCAUUUCUUUGGUGCAAGUCAUUUUUCUUAAUCAAUUGUCUACAUAUACUAUUUACUUUGAAAUAAAUUGAAAUUUCAUUUAACAUAGACAGAUUUGAGUAGGAUUGUACAUCUACUACAAACACACAUCAAAAUAGAUUAACGGAUUAUUUAUUACAAGUAGACAAUGGAUUAAAUAUUUAAAUUACUGUGUUAACAAAUUAUGAGAGGAAAAAAGAUUAUUUGUAAAUCCAAUGUAUAUUCACUCUUCCCUUAGUCCACAAGUAAUUAAAGCUUCAAACAGAUGUAUACAUGUAAUUGCCUGAAGUCUAACAAGAGUCUAAGUUAAUCUACUCAAAAUAAAUUUUUCAAUAGUCAAAUUUUGAUAAAUUGGGAUAUUUAACGCCUUUAUUAAUUGAAAGCUCAUUGUUGGAAUUGGUUGCUGAGUUUCCAUAUAUAAAUUGAACUGUAGUCAUUAAUACACACACAAAUCCUUAUGGUACAGUCAGAUUGAAUCUGUUAUAGACUAAUUAAUUACAAUAUGUUUCUUUUACUAGCUAUAUGAUUGGAUCUUAAUUAAUGACUGAAGAAGAAAUUAUAAGAACCCAUACUAGUAUUAGUGUACUAAUACUUCUCCUAAAGCUAAUAUUAAUCAAACAAAGCAACUUCAGACAUUUUCCACUAAGCUCUAGAUCAGGAUCAAGUCCACAAUUCAAUAUUCCACAUGAUUUUCCCAUUUCAUGAAGUAAUAGGUCCGCCAUUACUAGGUUAUAAGGUAAUAAAAUUAAUUCCUUAACAUGCAUUCUAAAUCAUCCUUAAAUUUUAUAUGUUCGGUUCCAGCUGCAGGCAUAACUUUGGAUGGGCACAUAAAAAAAAUUAAAAAACAAAGACAAAAAAUGAAAAAGAAAGAAAAUAUCUAUCAAACCUCUUCUUCAGGAGAAAUCAAACGGAGGGGCGGCGCUGGUUUUCAAUAAAAUUAAUUCCUUAACAUGCAUUCUAAAUCAUCCUUAAAUUUUAUAUGUUCGGUUCCAGCUGCAGGCAUAACUUUGGAUGGGCACAUAAAAAAAAUUAAAAAACAAAGACAAAAAAUGAAAAAGAAAGAAAAUAUCUAUCAAACCUCUUCUUCAGGAGAAAUCAAACGGAGGGGCGGCGCUGGUUUUCAUCUACCGAUGACUCCAUUGAUAAUCCCUUGAAGUCCCCAACGCUCUAUUUGAAUUUUUUUUUUUGGCUGUGUACAAAGAACUUGAACUCGGGAAGAAGAAGGCCAGGAAACACGUAUAGAUAAGGGAGCAACGUGGUCCAAUUCCGUCUCACGAAGAAAAAC